CCGGUCUAAAGAAUGCGGCCGAGGAAUCAUAGAUCCGGGAUUCGACUGCCAGACUUACGGCAGACCUGACUCCGACUAUCUCAAGUUCCGGUGGAAACCUUUCAACUGCAAUGUCCCUAGGUUAUUUAAACUCACUCACUUGUCACUAGCUCUACUUUGUUAGAUUAAUUUGGUUAAUGUUAAUUUUAGUUGUCUUGUUUUUGAGGAAGAAAUAUUCAUUUUAUUGAUACCGAGGUUAUAAUCUGACAUCCAAUAGUAAAACUUAUGCUUUGGCAAAUGAAUUUUUGGUAGGGCCACUAUACCAACCAAGAUUGUAAAUUUGAUUACUUUAUGAAAAAGACAAAAACAAAUUCUAGCUGGUUAUACCAAGAAUUGUCAUAUAUAUACGAUAGUAUUUGGAUCAUACAAUGAUCCCAAAUUAUUUGUUAGUAUUUAAUAUUUUAUGGUUAUAGACAUUCCUUCACUACAUUUUUUUCAUAAUUAGGGGUAUUACAUACAUACAACUUUAUAAUAUAUUUUUCUAUUAGUUAAUUAUGAGAGAUUCUCCUUUUCUAAAUGUGUAAUAAGUACAAGUUUAACAGAUUCGUUUUUAACAAAAAACAAAUUGAUUUUACUGUUAAUUAGGUGGAGUUUGGUACGGUUAAUAUAAUAAGUACUUAUUAUUUUAAAUAUGUAAUGUCGACGCAAUGAUUUAUUUAUGGAACCCCUUUCUGAUUAUACUCCAUUUGGGAAAGCAGAUUCAAUGGAGUGAAGUUUCUACAAGAAAUGAGAGACAAAACCAUAAUGUUCGUUGGUGAUUCGUUGGGUAGAAACCAAUGGGAGUCGUUGAUAUGUAUGAUCUCUUCAUCAGCACCGUCCAUUAAUACUCACAUCAUUCAUGAAGAUCCUCUCUCUACCUUCAAGAUCCUUGUAAGUUCCCAAAACAAAUUUUCUAUUGUCGGUAAAUGAAACUUUUUUUCUGUUUGGUCAAGUUUUCUCGAAUAACCUCGUGAAAAUUGAGGUCAAAAGUUGUAAUUUUGAACGUCGUUUUCAACUAUUAUUACCCUCACAACUUGACGUCGUCGGUGACAGUUUCACUGGUCCAAU
rnacentral:lncRNA from 1 species